rnacentral:tRNA from 1 species
AAGGAAGUGGCAGAUUGGCUAUGUAAUUGGCUUGAAACCAGUAAAAGGGGGUUCAAUUCCUUCCUUCCUCG